UACGAAGGGUGCAAACGUUGCUCGGAAUCAUUGGGCGUAAAGCGCACGUAGGCGGCUUCGCAAGUCGGAUGUGAAAUCCCACGGCUCAACCAUGGACGUGCAUCCGAAACUGCAAGGCUUGAGUAUGGAAGAGGGUCGCGGAAUUCCCGGUGUAGAGGUGAAAUUCGUAGAUAUCGGGAGGAACACCAGUGGCGAAGGCGGCGACCUGGGCCAAUACUGACGCUGAGGUGCGAAAAGCGUGGGGAGCAACAGG
rnacentral:rRNA from 1 species